UACGUAGGGGGCAAGCGUUGUCCGGAUUUAUUGGGCGUAAAGAGCGUGUAGGCGGCCAGACAGGUCCGUUGUGAAAACUCGAGGCUCAACCUCGAGAUGUCGAUGGAAACCGUCUGGCUAGAGUCCGGAAGAGGAGUGUGGAAUUCCUGGUGUAGCGGUGAAAUGCGCAGAUAUCAGGAGGAACACCAAUUGCGAAGGCAGCUCGCUGGGACGUUACUGACGCUGAGACGCGAAAGCGUGGGGAGCAAACAGG
rnacentral:rRNA from 1 species